CAACUGCCUUCAUAGGGAGCCUUUGCGUGGAAAGAUAACACGCAAAGUGGAUGUGGCUAUAUGCAAGGAAAUCCAUAAAUCAACAAAGGAUAAUUUGCAGGCAACCGUAGAAAUUAAACGAGAGUCCUCAGAGACUAUACGCCACACACCUGAAAUGGUGAAGACAUAGUCCAGACCGCAACAGUUAUCUGGCUG
rnacentral:ncRNA from 1 species